rnacentral:rRNA from 1 species
CCCUUAGAUGUUCUGGGCCGCACGCGUGCUACACUGAGUGGAUCAGCGGGUCAGGUUGCGCGAAAGUGUUUCCUAAUCUUGAAAUCCGCUCGUGAUGGGGAUUGACGGUUGCAAUUUUCCGUCAUGAACGAGGAAUACCUUGUAAGCGCGGGUCAUCAUCCCGCGCUGAAUACGUCCCUGCCCUUUGUACACACCGCCCGUCGCUCCUACCGAUUGAGUGGUCCGGUGAGGCUUUGGGAUCUGAGCGGAAAGAGCGUUUCGCUGUUUCUGCUCGGAAAACUCAGUCGAACCUUAUCAUUUAGAGGAAGGAGAAGUCGUAACAA